rnacentral:ncRNA from 1 species
UUGGUGGAUAGAUUUGAUUGCUUGCAACCACAGAAAAAAAUGCUAAAAUGA